UACAGAGGGUGCGAGCGUUGUCCGGAAUCACUGGGCGUAAAGGGCGCGUAGGCGGCCUGAUAAGUAGGGGGUGAAAUCCUGUGGCUCAACUGCAGGGCUGCCUCCUAGACUGUCGGGCGUGAGCACGGUAGAGGCAGAUGGAAUUCCCGGUGUAGCAGUGAAAUGCGUAGAUAUCAAGUGGAACACCAGUGGCGAAGGCGAGUCCCUGGACAUUUCCUGACACUGAGGCACGAAAGCUAGGGGAGCAAACAGG
rnacentral:rRNA from 1 species